GGCCAAUAUAUUAACAAUGCAUAAGCUGAUAGUACUUUGUUUAAUUUAGACAUUUUGAAGUUCAACUUUUUUUUUAAAGUCGACUUUAGUUUGUAGUACAAAUGUAUAGGUAGUUGCCCCUUUAUUUCAGUUUGGUAUUUUGCAUGAACAUCUGCAAAUUUACUUUUACUUUCAAUCACUAAUCUUUUAAAUAUUUUUCAGAUGUCAUUGUUAGAGACUUGGCACCAUUAGUAGUAAUCAUUUGUCGAACAGAAGCAAUGUAAUUUCAGGUUGUGUUAAACCAAUGGUCCUAGAUGACAUCACUGAAGAAUCCAAUGGCAAAGACCAGUGCUAGAUGGCAAAGACCAGGUGCUGAACAUCACUGAGGAAUCCAGUGGCAAAGACCAUCACAGAUUACAAAGAACAACCAUCUGUAAAGAAAAUAAGAUCAUUAAUG